rnacentral:rRNA from 1 species
UACGAAGGGGGCUAGCGUUGUUCGGAAUUACUGGGCGUAAAGAGCUCGUAGGCGGUUUGUCGCGUCUGCUGUGAAAGACCGGGGCUCAACUCCGGUUCUGCAGUGGGUACGGGCAGACUAGAGUGCAGUAGGGGAGACUGGAAUUCCUGGUGUAGCGGUGGAAUGCGCAGAUAUCAGGAGGAACACCGGUGGCGAAGGCGGUUCUCUGGGCAUUACCUGACGCUGAGGAGCGAAAGUGUGGGGAGCGAACAGG